rnacentral:rRNA from 1 species
GACGAACGCUGGCGGCGUGCUUAACACAUGCAAGUCGAACGGAAAGGCCCCUUUGGGGGUACUCGAGUGGCGAACGGGUGAGUAACACGUGAGUAACCUGCCCUUGACUUCGGGAUAACUUCAGGAAACUGGGGCUAAUACCGGAUAGGAAUCCUUGCUGCAUGGUGGGGGUUGGAAAGCUUCGGCGGUUUUGGAUGGACUCGCGGCUUAUCAGCUUGUUGGUGGGGUAGUGGCUUACCAAGGCUUUGACGGGUAGCCGGCCUGAGAGGGCGACCGGCCACCUUGGGACUGAGAUACGGCCCAGACUCCUACGGGAGGCAGCAGUGGGGAAUAUUGCACAAUGGGCGGCAGCCUGAUGCAGCAACGCCGCGUGCGGGAUGACGGCCUUCGGGUUGUAAACCGCUUUCAGCAGGGGCGAAGCUUGUGGUGACGGUACCUGCAGAAGAAGCACCGGCUAACUACGUG